rnacentral:rRNA from 1 species
AUUGAACGCUGGCGGCAGGCCUAACACAUGCAAGUCGAACGAGUGGCGGACGGGUGAGUAUUGUCUGGGAAACUGCCUGAUGGAGGGGGAUAACUACUGGAAACGGUAGCUAAUACCGCAUACCAUCGGAUGUGCCCAGAUGGGAUUAGCUAGUAGGUGGGGUAAAGGCUCACCUAGGCGACGAUCCCUAGCUGGGCUGAGAGGAUGACCAGCAACACGGGAAAGGCGCCACGGUCAAGACUCCGACGGGAGGCAGCGGUGGGGAAUAGUGCACAAUGGGCGCAAGCCGGAUGCAGCCAUGCCGGGUGUAUGAAGAAGGCUUUCGGGUUGUAAAGUACUUUCAGCGGGGAGGCGUUACCCGAAGAAGAAGCACCGGCUAACUCCGUGCCAGCAGCCGCGGUAAUAC